AUUGAACGCUGGCGGCAGGCCUAACACAUGCAAGUCGAGCGAGCGGCGGACGGGUGAGUAAUGUAUGGGGACUGCCCGAUAGAGGGGGAUAACUACUGGAAACGGUGGCUAAUACAGCAUACUGUCGGAUAACCCAUAUGGGAUUAGCUAGUAGGUAAGGUAAUGGCUUCCCUAGGCGACGAUCCCUAGCUGGUCUUCGAGGAUGAUCAGCCACACUGUGAAUGAGACACGGCCCAGACUCCUACGGAGGCAGCAGUGGGGAAUAUUGCACAAUGGGAGCAAGCCUGAUGAAGCCAUGCCGCGUGUAUGAAGAAGGCCCUAGGGUUGUAAAGUACUUUCAGUCGGGAGGCGUUACCUACAGAAGAAGCACCGGCUAACUCCGUGCCAGCAGCCGCGGUAAUUC
rnacentral:rRNA from 1 species